rnacentral:rRNA from 1 species
CCUACGGGAGGCAGCAGUGAGGAAUAUUGCGCAAUGGGGGAAACCCUGACGCAGCAACGCCGCGUGNAGGACGAAGGUUUUCGGAUUGUAAACUCCUUAACUGGGGGAAGAGGAAGGACGGUACCCCAGGACGAAGACACGGCUAACUACGUGCCAGCAGCCGCGGUAACACGUAGGUGUCGAGCGUUAUCCGGAAUUACUGGGCGUAAAGGGUGCGCAGGCGGCGGUGCAAGUCUGGCGUGAAAGCUCCUGGCUUAACUGGGAGAGGACGUUGGAAACUGCAUGGCUAGAGUGAAUGAGAGGGGGGCGGAAAUCCCGGUGUAGUGGUGGAAUGCGUAGAGAUCGGGAAGAACACCAGAGGCGAAGGCGGCCCCCUGGCAUUUGACUGACGCUNANGCACGAAAGCGUGGGUAGCGAACGGGAUUAGAUACCCCGGUAGUCCAUGCUGUAAACGAUGUGCACUCGAUGUUUGUUGGGCUACGGCCUGGUGGGUGUCCCAGUGAACGCGGUAAGUGCACCGCCUNGGGAGUACGGUCGGG